rnacentral:rRNA from 1 species
GACGAACGCUGGCGGCGUGCUUAACACAUGCAAGUCGAACGGUGAAGGGACCAGCUUGCUGGUUCUGGAUGAGUGGCGAACGGGUGAGUAACACGUGAGUAACCUGCCCCCUUCUUCUGGAUAACCGCAUGAAAGUGUGGCUAAUACGGGAUAUUCUGGGUCUGUCGCAUGGCGGGCCCGGGAAAGAUAUUGCUUCGGUGGGGGAUGGGCUCGCGGCCUAUCCGCUUGUUGGUGGGGUGAUGGCCUACCAAGGCGGUGACGGGUAGCCGGCCUGAGAGGGUGGACGGUCACACUGGGACUGAGACACGGCCCAGACUCCUACGGGAGGCAGCAGUGGGGAAUAUUGCACAAUGGGCGCAAGCCUGAUGCAGCGACGCCGCGUGAGGGAUGGAGGCCUUCGGGUUGUAAACCUCUUUCGCCAGUGAAGCAGGCCUGCUCCUUGUGGGUGGGUUGACGGUAGCUGGAUAAGAAGCGCCGGCUAACUACGUG